CCUGCGCUCCUGCUGCCUUGCCCCGUGCUUGCUGUGCCCCAUACAAGGCGCUCAGUGGUGCCAAGGGAAGGGGCCAUGCGUGCACCCCAAGCCUCCAUCUCACACCUGGCCCCACAGAGAAGCCCUCAGCAAGCUGGGUUUGUUUGUCCUGGCUUUGGGCAGAGCUGUAUGGUGGCAAAGCAGGAGAUACCCCAACCUGAAGCGACGUGAUGACUUUUUUUUGUUGUUUUUUUUUUUGUUGUUGUUGUUUUUUUGCAUUAUCCUGACUUCAAUUGUAAGCCUUUCUGUGAUUUCUGUUUCCCUGUGGUGCCUCCCCCUCACCACGAGGAUGCUCGGCAGCAGGGUUAAUGCCCUCCUGCUAAUUCCUUACAUAACCCUGUGGGCUCAGAUCCUCAAAAGUAUUUCUGUGUCUUCCUCCCUUGGAAAUCGGGGAGUUUAAUUGUCUGCUAAAAUUAUGGCAUUUUGUUUUGAAAGCAGAGCAGGAAAUAACCAACUUGGUUUAUAUGAGCUUUGUUUGCCUCUCUGUGGUCACAAAGCACUUUUAUGUACCUUUUACAAAUAAAUUCAGGGGUAAAUAGCCCAGUGACCAGAAUGCAGAUGGGUUUGUAGAGUACGACCAGAGAGAAAUGUGUGUGCCGAAGGAGGUGAGGGGAGAUGGGCUUGGCCUCCUCUAAUUCCCUUUGGCAAAAUAUGGGUGAGACAAUGGUACGGCACCAAAAAGAUGCUGGAAGGAAUAACCCAUUAAGGGCCGUGAGACAGGAGAACUGUAGAGAUCACAGCAGUGAGAUGCCAUCUAUUACAGACAACCAUCGCACAGCUGACUGCAUCUCCCUCUCUGGAAAUGGCUCCGUUCUUAGUUUCAUUUUUGGCCAUGCGACCAGAUAGGAGUCCUCUCCCUCCUCAGCGUUUGCCCCCUUCAGAUAUUUCAUGCAACGCAGAGGAAGGAGGAAGCAGAAUGCCGUGACAUUGAGGUUUAUUGCUGAUUCUGCUCACGUCGGUUGAAAUCAGUCACUAAACCUCAGCCGGCAGAACCCCGUGCGCUGUGUUUUUCUUGCCUAGGUAAUCGCGAUGGCAGCAGGGGGAGGCACUUUUCGUCUCCGAGUGUUUGUGAGUGAAGCCAAACCAUGCAGCUCUGCUCUCGGGGCUGCAAUUACCAACAUUGUGCACACAGAAAGCGAAGCUGGAGGAGGACCAGCCAUAACCAGGCACUUGGAGAGCACAUCCUGUGAGAUAAAUGCAUGUCCCUGUGAUGUGGUGAGCUGGGGAGGUGCUCCCUUCCAAGGGCACAAAGCAUGGAUGAAGGCACCCAUGCCAAAGCUCCUUGCCCUUGGUAUCAGAACCAAUGGGGGGAGAUGGUUUUGUGCCGUUCACCUUCCAAGCCCUCCUGGUGUCUGGGCACUAAGAGGCCAUGGAAUGAGGAUGGUUCCUCAGUGGUGGAGAACAGGAAGACCAGAUGGGCCAAUGGCCUGGUCAGCACAGCUCUUGGCCAACGUAUCCUUUUGGAAGCUGCCAACUUGCCAGCAUGGCUUCUGGUUUCUGGCUGCUCACUGCAGCACUUCUUUGCACACAUGCUUCUUCCAGCUUCCACCCUGCAUGUGUGCAUCGAAUCUCCCCCACCGACUUAGGUCAACUCUCUGCCAGAACAUAGGAUCGUGGAAUCAUUAAGGUUGAAAAGACUGAUAAGAUCAUCUAAUCCAACCACCAGAUUGUGUGUGUGACUGCUGUAGACCAUGUCACUCAGUGCCGCAUCCCAAUGGUUCUUGAACACCUCCAGGGAUGGUGAACCUCCCACCUCCCGGGGCAGCCUGUGCCAAUGCAUCACCACUCUGAGAAGAAAUUUUUUCCUACAGCAUUGAAUGCUGCGAUUCAUAAGGGCUCUCCCAGUCUGCUUCUCCCUUUAGGAGGCUCAUGUUGUAUUAUCUAGCAUCUAAAACUAAGUGGAGUAAAAGCCCGAAAUCUAAUUUUGAAAAUAAUAAUAAAAGAAGAUUUAAUAAUGUGUCAUCCCUGUUCUAUGCCACUCUGGUGAAUCAUAACUGUUUGUUACCAGCGAGUUUCACAGUUUAGGCCCCCAUUGCCAGCACAGAAACCCCAAGACAAGCAGAUCAGAUUCAGUGCUUUGACCUGCUGCAAGCAUUCAGUCACCUCCGUGUGUCUCAGAUACCAGCUGAACUGGUGCUUCGCUUUUUCAUUAUUUGUGCACAAUCUCUCCCACUGUGCCAAGAGUUCUUCAUUUCUCUUCCAUCUCUGAUACCACAAAGUCAAGUGAAUGUCUUCAAGGAAAUCUCAGUAAUAAAACCUAUUUCCUCCUCCCUGCUGCAAAGAGAAAGCGGAGUAAUAGUUUCUUUAUCCAUCGGGGACCGGUUAAUGCCUCGCUCCUCAUCAUCACCAAAUGCAACUAAUAAAGGAGUAAAGGAGAUUUGGCAGUUUAAUGCAGCAGCUAAUUUUGUGCCUGCUGCUCUGCCAGAAAGUAUUUUCACUUUUGGGUGAUGCCAGAAUAGCAGAGCUGAUUAAUUAGCUUUCUCUUGAGCAGGAAGAGCUCAGCUAAGAUGCCUGCAGCCCCUGGACAACACAGGCAUUGGCCAACCUUGUUAGUAGCAGCAUUCCUGGUAUCUUGAGGGUUCAUUAAUCCUCAGCAGGUGAGUGUUUCGAUAGAGGCAUUCAGACUCAUGUUCCUUUCCAGAGGCUUCAUGGCAGUGCCUUAAGAGUUUAUGGGACCAGGAUCUUAUUGAGUAGGUCCACAGGUGAAGAAACUCUCUCCAAGCACUCAGCAGGUGGGAUCCAGCAAAUCAACUCCCUUGGCUUUGGUUGGGCCUCUAUAGACACUGUGACAUAAUGGUAACGCUGAGAAUUUCCCUCUCUCAGUUCCCGUGUGUAUGGGGCUAACAAGGAGCAUGGAAAGUCAAAGGAACCUUUGGGAAAUGUGUCUUCUUUUUGCUGACCCUGCAGCAGAAGGUAGAUAACUGUUUUUUUAUGAUGGUUAGGAUGGAUGGGUUAAUUACUGUCAUAGAGUCCUUUGAGAUAUUCUCUGCAAUCAUGCAGUGCUUUUAUAGAGUGGCUUUAUUAUCCUCGCACAGCAUUGCUGCUUUAUUCGAGGUGUUGCUGUAGGAAAUACUGGCAACAGAGGGGAAGGCCCCUUUGAUCCCACCUCCCCAAAUGCUGCUUUCCUGGGAAUAGGGCAAGCUGUGUCUGGCUGGGUUCUCUGCAGCCCUGAUCUGCAGUUUGCUGCUGAUUGCAGCCAGAGCCAGGUGCUUGCAAGGACCCAGAACAGCUGAAACUUGCCAUUUCCGAAUGCCCAAAUGCUGAACUGUAACAGGGAGUGAGAAGACCUUGAUCUAACAAAGCAAGUGAGAUGUUUCAAUGGGUACAAAGUAGCCAGUAUAGAACUGGGCUAGGAACAUGACAAGGUUGCAGCUGGCUGGUGCUGGGGCAAAAACUGCUGGCACGGUGUGCUUACGUGCAGUGCUGAUAAGAGAGAGCAAACAUAGCAAAUGGAAGCAGGUUUGGUUUUGCACUUCUCUGGAGCAAAACCCGUUUCCAUUUAGGACACACUGUGCAAGUGUCUCCACCACACUCUGUGAACAGAAGAAAUAAAUUGCUUUUCUGCCCCAAACCGUUCAGCUUUGCUAGGGAUGCUGCAGGCAGCACAGUGCCCUUGGGUGUACAGGGGGUGGGAUGGCACUGCAGGUUGGAAGGGCUGUGGCACCAGGCGUCGGACAGAUGGACAUGUGCAGUGUGGACAGACAUACAGAUGUGCCAGGAAGGCUCAGCACAGCCAGAGCUGUGAUGGCAACACGCUGGCUGUUUGUUUUACAGCACGCGGCAGGGAUUGACAAACCAACUCACCUUGAUUUCUCUCGCUCCCCCAGAUGCUAUCUCGCAAUGUCUCAAUCCCAUUGUACCAGCCCGACCUGCCAGAUAGGAGACAGCCUGUGCAUUGCUGGGACAAGGCUUGGCGGACAGUGGGGCCAGCUGGCAGGGAGCCUGGCUGCCAGGGGACAGAUCCUUCCUCUGCGGCAUUCACGGGAUCGGGAACUUUGCUUUUUCAUCUGAAGAACUUUUUGGCUUUUAAAAAUAGCACAGCCGCGGCCUAUGCUCCCAGGAAUGUCUGGGAUGGGGAAAAUGGAAAUACAUUUUUCCGUUCCUAGUGUAAUUGGCACUGGAAAACCCAAACAGCAUUUGUCCUGUUGGACCUCCCCAGCCCCACACCCUCUUCUGCUCUGAGUGGGUCCCGUGAUCCCACAGCAAGCAGGUUGAUCUGAAGGCGUCUUUGGGCCAAACCCAUGAAAACCCAUACACCUGCUCAGUUCUGAGAGCACGAGUAAUUACAGAGACUGAAAGCUCUGUUUCUAUCAUUUAGUAGUAUGCACUCUUCCCUGUAUGUUCUCUUCCUCUGUUAUCUCAGUGUCUUGUAAACAUUAAUGAAUAGUUCUCAGGCCCCAGCACACUACUUCAUUGUCUCACUUGCAGGUCACAGGUUAUGAUUAAAGUGAUGGGAAAGGAGGGGGGGGGGGGGGGGGUGGAUUUAAAAAUGCUUGAUUUUUUUAUUUUUAUUUUUUUAAUGAAUAGGGGUUUUUUUGCCCGGCUUCUGGAGGAUGGGAAAUUCAGGCCACUUUUGUGGUGCUCUUUUGAGAUGUUUCAGAAAAUAGGAACUAUUUCCAAAGCUGCUUUAUUCCAUGCUGCUCCAAAAGAUUCAAGGCAGCUGUUAGCAGUAUCACCAAAGCUUGCUGCUACUGAAGAGUUAAUGCACAUGGCUAUAAAACGGACUUUCAGGCCAUUUCAGAAGAAAAACUAUUUCCUCUCACUUAACUUACCGCUGAGAAGAAUGUUGCUCCUCGCCUUGGCUUCCCGAUGUUAUUAACCACUGCUGUGCUCCAUGGGGACUUGGGGCUGGCUGAGAUCCAGCUGGCUUGUGCUGUGCCACCACCUCCUGGCACCAUUUGGAGGGUGUAGGGGAGAAGAUGCUGCAUCCCCCAUCAGAGAACAAAGCCAUGAAGGGCUGAUCUCUCUGCAGCCACACAGCCAAAAAGCUGACCUUGUGCUGAUACUUUUGCCCCUGGAUCCACGGCCUGGAUGCUGGAGUUGGGGCAGAGCUCGGGGAUGGGUUCCCCUGCCUGCAGGCUGGGGACUGUAGGACUACGGAUGGUGGAAGGAGGGUGGAAGAAGGGCGCCCAGAGAAGCUGUGGAUGCUCCAUCCCUGGAAGUGUUCAGAGUCACCUUGGGUAGAACCCUGGGCAUCCUGAUCUGGUGAAUGGCAGGAAGUCCAUGGCAGGGAGUUGGAACUGGGUGGGCUCUGAGGUCCCUUCCAAUCCAACCAUUCUAUGAUGCUGUGAUUCAGUGUUGGAACUGGGUAGUCUUUGAGGUCCCUUCCAACCCAACCGUUCUAUGACUCUGUGACCCACACACCCUCAUCCAGGCACUGGGAUGGGUUCUUAGCAGGGAGCUAUUGGGUGGGAGUGUCCAGCUGAGAUAUUCCCAGGCUCAGGGCUGGGUGAAAAUAUUUCACCUGAAACUCCCCCUGUGUGAAAAAUGCAAAUUUGGUGACAAAUAGUUGAGAACAUUAGUGUUGGCUGUGCUAAAUGGUUUGUCCUGAGAAAAAACAUUCCAAGAAAGUACAUUUGCAAUGUUUAUUUCAGUUUGAAAUUCCCCUCCAUUUUACUUGUAAAUUGCUCCAAAUCAAAGUGCAGCAUUUUCUCCUCACCUUUCACGUAUGCUGUAAUUUAAAUAAAUAGUUCUAGCUGCAAUCUGAACUAAUUCCCUCCUUCCUGACUUUUCAGAACUAUUCAUAAAAAAACACAACCCCAAAUUCAUUUUUUUCAUGCAGCUCUUCUCAGAACCAUUAGACACAUUAACAGCCACCACAUAAAUGAAACCACAGGCUAUCAAUGCUUUCAGACAGCUGUAUUUCCCACCAGACAUUUGCAUAGCACCACCUUUGUAGCACUCUGAAUUACUCUACCAAUAUUUUUUUGGGGGGGAAAUGCAAGUUACUGUUACCAGAUCUGGAAUCAGGAGGCUGAAAGUCCCCAAGUAAAACCUCUUAUCAGACACAGGUCAGCACUCCUGGUUCUGAGCAGGCACUGAAGGACCUUCAUUCCUCACUCUUUCUCCCCAUCUGUCAUCCACUUUUCCUGAACCAUUUAUUUCAUCUCAGGCAAAGCCAUCCUGCUAAUAGAUCUGGUCCAAAGAAGGGCUGAAAACACCUUUUCAGCAUCCAGACGUGACCUUUCAGAGGGAUCCAGCUGCUAUCUCUGCAAAAUUCCCAUUUUUGCCACCACUUAAGAUUUUCAUCAGACUCCCAUCAAACAAAGUGUGCCUCUCAGCAGCUGGAAGCAGCAGCAAUUCAGCCUUCUGGGCAGAGAUUUGUCUGCAUCAAGGAAAUACUCCUGAUUAGAGAGCAACGGAUAUUUUUUCCCUAUACCAUAUACUUCUAGUGAGCUCCCCCAGCUCAUUUCCCCUCCUCUCCGUGGAAAAAAAGAAAUAAAGAGCAGAAGGAGAAAAUAACGAAACUCAGAAUUGCUUUUCCUGCACAGUUUUCUGGUGAGCUCUACCACCAGAGUGCUCAGGAGGUGCAGGAGGGCAGCGACUUCAGGUGGGAUAUAAGGAAAAGCUUCUCUAAGAGUGGCUGUGCAUUGGCACAGGCUGCACAGGAGGGGGGUGGAAUCACUGUUCCUGCAGAUGUUCAAGAACUGUGGAGAUGUGGCACUGAGGGAAAUGGUUAGCGGGCAUGGUGGGGAUGGGUGAUUUUAGGAGUAGGUGACCUUACUGAUCUUUUCCAGCUUUAGUGAUUCUGUGAUUCUGUGGCUUGGUGUGUUAGACCCAUGGGAAUGCAAGGCUUUGCUUUUCCUGCAACGGUGAGCAUGAGGAAUGAACCUUUGAUGAGGAGGAAGAAGGUUUUGAGAUAUUCUCUUCACGCCAUGGGCACUGGCAGUCCAGCUCAGCUCCUCCUGCCCUGGGAGAGGUGAUGGCACUGCAGAGUUCCUAUCCUUUUGAGGGCUGGAAUUCUCCCAUUUUCCCCAGCUACCUUUACUGUCUAUUUUUACCUUCAGAGCCAUGCAGAAGUUUGAGUCUUGUCUGCCCCAGGUAGGAUGGAGCAUCUUGAUUGAACAAGGCAUCUCCUGAGCAGGAGCGCUAGAUUGAGCAAAGCCGAGACCAGGUGUCACCAAAACCUGCUGCCAAAUCUCAGCGGCUCGGAACUUUGUCCCUGAGCUGUCCCCUGGCAUGUCCUGCAGGGAGCCUGGGCCUUUUUCAGACUGUGCAGUCCCAGGUGUUGCUCAAGAGAGCCUGGUCCUUGCAGAGCUCAUUUGCAGGAUGCUUUGCAGGAUAAUCCUCUGCAGGGUGCUUUUCUCAGGGAACAAGUCUCUUCCUGAGGACAAAUGUCCUGAGAGGGUCCUUGAGUGGAUAUUGCAUUGCCAUACUCAACAGGGACAACAUUCUGCAUGGAAAAGGUCUCUCUAAGAGGGCUCAGCAUCUCCCAGAGGUGUGCAGGCUCCACAGAGACAUGCUGGCUGCUUAGAAACUGCCAGAUUCUGAAACUUUCCACUCGUGUCAAGGGAAUAAUGAAAACCCAGCUCUGCUCAACAGGUUCUCAAAUUUAAUCACUAAAAAAUGUCAGCUUUAAUCCCAACCCCCAUGAAAAUACUUCACUAUAUCAACUUCAUGUUGACGCUCCGAAGUCAGGUAGUCUUUAAAGGCUUCAGACUUCUAUAAUUAAAAGGAUUUAAAGUUAUAGAAAUGUAUAAAUUUUGUUCCCUCUAGUUUCUUUCUCCUCCUCUGCUGCACAAGUCAGUGAAGUCAUACAAAGCAGGUGUAAUGGAAAACAAACCCAGAGAUCUCCCUGCUGAGAAAUGUUGUCUGGCAAUGGAAUUUUAUUAUUAUUAUUAUUAUUAUUAUUAUUAUUUCAGCAGGAGGAAAUAGUGACAUCAAAAUGAUAUUGUAGCAUAGUUGGCACUGAAUGAGUAUAAAGUGCCCUAGAUGACAGCCCAUCAUCUCACUUGCCUUCUGUGCUCUAGGUGUUGAAAAUAAACCACUUGUCACAUAGACCAGAAAUGUAUCUCAGAGCUUGCAUGAGAUCUGGGAACUUCAUACCUUGCAGUUGUACUGGAUGACUGUUGCACUGAAUCUCCCUCUCACCACGAGACGUUUCAGAAGCAGCCCAGAGGUGGUCCCAGUGGUCAAGAACAGCAUCCCAGUCACACGCAGAGCACAGCCUGGGGAGAAGAUGGGGAAGGCAGCUGAGAGCAUCGCCUUGUGUCAUGGCUGGAAGCUGCUCAAAACACUGUGGAGGUUUGAGGUGACCUCUCCCCAUCCUCUGACCCUGAUCCUCACCUCACUGUUUCCCACGUCAAAGUUCAGACAGUCCUCACUGAUCUCACGUUCAUCUUCCCACUGCUGGGUCCCUUGCUGUUCUGCAGGUCUUCCCUGCGGUGUCACAUAGGUUUCCCCCUGCUUUGCAUGGAUCUGCGUGGUGAGGGCAGGGGGUAGCCACACGUUCCUCUCUGCCGUGCCCCUACCCUGAGCGGGUUGGAGGGAACCAUAUGAGAAGGAAUCAGGUGACUCCUUCAGCCCUGCAGAGCCAGCUGACCUCCUGCAAUGUUCCAGCUGCGACAGAGGAGCCAUCCCUGCUGUGUUUUGCCAGUUCCAAGACAAGACACAGUGUGACAAACAGGAAAGAAAUCCAGAGAAACCCAACCACUUGUCUGAAAACUCCAGGACCUUCAGGACUGACUCAGAUGCUGUAUCAUUCUUCCCCUGCUCUGAAAGGCACAAGAGCACACUGCACCUGGACCCCACCUGGACCACACCUGGAUACUUGCAUCUGGGAACUGGUUUAAAACUAGCAUAUGCCUCAGCCUGGGCACAGCUUGCACAUCGGUAAGGCAACUGAAGCUUUUCAGGGAGCUCCACUGAAAUGACAUACAAUGUCCUUCUACUGUUUCCCGUGCAAAAACAAACAUUUUGCUUCGCACGAUUCUAAUUUUCUGAUAGCAAAACCACCUAGAAGAAAGAGGAACCCCAGGAAGCCCAGAUCUAGAAAAGGACAAGCUCUUUGUACAAAUGCCCAGAGGCCUCUGGAAAUAUUUCCAGCGGUAAUAACAACCAAUAAAGCCUAUUUUAUACCUUUGCGACCAACUGAUCUUAUGCAAUCACUCUGCUUCUUACAUAAUGCUGGCAAAACGCCACCCCCUCCCUGUUCUGGAAGAACCAAUCUGACAUGUUAGAGGAACACGAUUGGAAAGCCUGGCCCGGGCCAUUACUUUGCUGGAGCACUUAAAGGACGUGUGGAAUAGACUCAAGAUGCCAUGAAAUAAUAGCCCAAGUCAAACAAGUUCUAGGCUUCUUAAUGCGCCUUGAUCUGGCCACUGAACACACCUGUUCCCAAACUGGGGUGACACGUUGCUCCGUCCUCUGGGGUGGACCAGGUGUGGUUUGGCAGCUGAGGGGAAUUGCUUUCCUGUGGGCUAUGCACCCUGUUUAUAAAGGAAUCAAGCAAGCUGAGAAUCAUGGAAUCAUUCUGGUUGUAAAGAGCUCUAAGAUCAUUGAGUCUGACCAUCAGCCCAUUCCCACCAUACCCACUAACCGUGUCCCUCAGUGCCACGUCCCACAGAGAACAUCCAAAAGUUGCUAAAAGCCUUUGAGACACUCAGAAAAAACAAAACACACACACGAAACAUCAAACCUCUUCAGGCAAGGUUCUGUGGGACAGCAGAUGCACAGCAGGGGACCCACAUCCCCCCCAUCUGUCCCAGGUCCAGCACUGGGACAAGUAGAAUAUGCAGGGCUAUG